AACAAGGUUAGUUUAUAGGGAUGUCAUUGAGAGGACUACAAGUAAUGGUCAUUGUUUUGUAACUUGCAGUAGGUGAUAUGAAUCCAUUUCAAUUUCGGAAUCUUCCACAGCAGUUGGUUGGGUGAGUGGAUUCUGGAGUAUUCAUGUUGAUGUAUGCUCUGCACCUUGUCUUGAAUGCGCCAUUUGACUUCACAGCUGUAAGCUUUCACUUAUGUCUCUGAUUAUUUGUUAAUAUCUGUUACUGGUUUUAAUGUUCUUUGUUUUUUUCCCUCUGCAUGGCAGUGUGAUUUACCCUUGAUCAGGAGGUGCUGGUGCUUUAUUCUAUUGGAGAAUUUUGCUGUUGGAAGUUAUCUCUUUCUCUGUGGCUAACGUGUGAAUAUUUCGUACAGGACAAAGGCGUUCACUAAAGGUGAGGAGGUAUACAGUUAAUAUCUAAUAUUAUUUAAAUAGGCAUGUAGAAAUACAUGUUUUGUUUAAUUCUCUUUGUGGUCUUUUAUCUAAAGGAACCACUAAUAAAAAAGGACCUCCACACUGCAGUAAAAUGGUUGCGCCAACAUAGACAGUUGUUCAGAGGUGCCGUGUCUGAGCCCCAUUUUCUGGAGAUGGAGGAGGAGGACCGAAGCCGAGCUCUCCAGGACAUCAUCGAUGCAGUCGAAACUGAAGAUUUAAUUUUGGCAAAAGAACCCUUUGUAUUUAUUUUUCAGUUUAGGGAUGAUAUGGAACUUUUCACUCAGGAAUGUCGGGAUAAAAUGAAACUUAAAGUAAACUGCAUAUUUAAUGAAUCAGUAUAAUUAUUGUCUGUUGCUACAUUGAUUGUUACUUGUAUUUUAUUGUGCAUUAAUACUCUAUUGAUUUCAGUUUAUAAUACUUUGAUUUUUCUGUUUUCCUUUGGUGGUGGAUAGUUUUUGAAAAUAAACAAUUUAACUGCAA